ACGCUAGCUACAGGCUUAACACAUGCAAGUCGAGGGGAAACGACAUUGAAGCUUGCUUCGAUGGGCGUCGACCGGCGCACGGGUGAGUAACGCGUAUCCAACCUGCCUCUGACUAAGGGAUAACCCGGCGAAAGUCGGACUAAUACCUUAUGAGGUUUUCAGCAGACAUCUAAAGAAACCGAAAGAUUUAUCGGUCAGUGAUGGGGAUGCGUCUGAUUAGCUUGUUGGCGGGGUAACGGCCCACCAAGGCAACGAUCAGUAGGGGUUCUGAGAGGAAGGUCCCCCACAUUGGAACUGAGACACGGUCCAAACUCCUACGGGAGGCAGCAGUGAGGAAUAUUGGUCAAUGGGCGAGAGCCUGAACCAGCCAAGUAGCGUGCAGGAUGACGGCCCUAUGGGUUGUAAACUGCUUUUAUGUGGGGAUAAAGUGAGCUACGUGUAGUUUAUUGCAGGUACCACAUGAAUAAGGACCGGCUAAUUCCGUGCCAGCAGCCGCGGUAAUACGGAAGGUCCAGGCGUUAUCCGGAUUUAUUGGGUUUAAAGGGAGCGUAGGCCGUGGAUUAAGCGUGUUGUGAAAUAUAGACGCUCAACGUCUGAAUUGCAGCGCGAACUGGUUCACUUGAGUAUGCACAACGUAGGCGGAAUUCGUCGUGUAGCGGUGAAAUGCUUAGAUAUGACGAAGAACUCCGAUUGCGAAGGCAGCUUACGGGAGCACAACUGACGCUGAAGCUCGAAGGUGCGGGUAUCAAACAGGAUUAGAUACCCUGGUAGUCCGCACAGUAAACGAUGGAUGCCCGUUGUUAGUUCACUUGGAAUUAGCGACCAAGCGAAAGCAUUAAGCAUCCCACCUGGGGAGUACGCCGGCAACGGUGAAACUCAAAGGAAUUGACGGGGGCCCGCACAAGCGGAGGAACAUGUGG
rnacentral:rRNA from 1 species